GGUAGACUUAAUUAAGCAUUCAUUCCUAACUAUUGUCUUUAUGCUGCUGUUUAACUGAAUGGCAUAAAUGUUCUUAAGAAAUGAAUUUAUCGGUAUAAUGAAUUUAUCUUCUAUACACAGAACACUGAAGGAUGACGUGGGAGGACCAGGAUCGAGGCUUUAAAAUGAAUAAAUGUUUACCAGCCCCUCCCUCUCACCAACCAAAAAGGAAAAGGAAAUCCACUUUUAAUUAUACAUUGAUGGAAAUCACUGUGUAGGAAGGGAACAUUCACUGUGGAACGCCCAUUUUACACUUUAUUAUGAGCAAAAAGAGGAGCUUGCAUCAGAACGUCCCUUCUCAAUCGUGAGCCAAUGCUCAAGUGAAAAUAUCUUUCUCCAAACCCUUCUGUUCAGUUUUAGAUUUCUUAACCAAUGAAAGAGUUCUGCUUGAGAAAUAAAACUGAGUCAUAGGUUUUAUAGACUUAAAAA
rnacentral:lncRNA from 1 species